UAUUAUUCCUACUCGCGGAUGCUGUUAAAGAAAAAGAGCGUCUAAAAAUCUCGUGCAUAGCUUUAUCAAGACACUCUUACAACCCGUCUGAUAUGCCAGACGAAGAAUUUCGGGCAUUUCGCAUAUUUACAGUUAUGUGCCGAACUUAACGCCGAGCCUCAAAAGUCAAAACGGUGAUGGAUUACUAAAACACCUAAAGGUUCUAACAGGUGUAAUAACACCUGCUAGCUGAUGGCAACUAGUCCAUUGGUCAGACUACUGUGAGCCAGUAGCUAUUGAAGCAAUUUGUAAUAGCUGUAAAUAGAAGAAAACUUCUCUUGGAUCAAGGGAGAAAUUAAGGAAGGCGCUCCUCAAGGACUUCCUAAGCAUCAUGCACAAAACCGGCUGUUACUAAGAGUGUGCGCUUGCGAGUUGCUAGCGAGCUUAAUAAAUACAUACUUAUGUCGCCUAUGUUUUACU